rnacentral:rRNA from 1 species
CCUACGGGAGGCAGCAGUGGGGGAUAUUGCACAAUGGGGGAAACCCUGAUGCAGCGACGCCGCGUGUGGGAAGACGGUCCUCUGGAUUGUAAACCACUGUCCCCAGGGACGAAGAUGACGGUACCUGGGGAGGAAGCUCCGGCUAACUACGUGCCAGCAGCCGCGGUAAUACGUAGGGAGCGAGCGUUGUCCGGAAUUACUGGGUGUAAAGGGAGCGUAGGCGGGGAUGCAAGUUGGGUGUCAAAACUACCGGCUCAACUGGUAGUCGCACUCAAAACUGCAGCUCUUGAGUGAAGUAGAGGCAGGGGGAAUUACUAGGGGAGCGGUGAAAUGCGGAGAUAGUAGGGGGAAAACCAGUGGCGAAGGCGGCCUGCUGGGCUUUUACUGACGCUGAGGCUCGAAAGUGUGGGGAGCAAACAGGAUUAGAUACCCCUGUAGUC